rnacentral:rRNA from 1 species
CAGCAGUAGCCGCGGGAAUACAGAGGGUGCGAGCGUUAAUCGGAUUUACUGGGCGUAAAGCGUGCGUAGGCGGCUAAUUGAGUCGGAUGUGAAAUCCCCGAGCUUAACUUGGGAAUUGCAUUCGAUACUGGUUAGCUAGAGUGUGGGAGAGGAUGGUAGAAUUCCAGGUGUAGCGGUGAAAUGCGUAAAGAUCUGGAGGAAUACCGAUGGCGAAGGCAGCCAUCUGGCCUAACACUGACGCUGAGGUACGAAAGCAUGGGGAGCAAACAGGAUUAGAUACCCCCGUAGUCCCUGUCUCUUAUAC